rnacentral:rRNA from 1 species
AGAGUUUGAUCCUGGCUCAGGAUGAACGCUGGCGGCGUGCUUAACACAUGCAAGUCGAACGCACUGGCCCAACUGAUUGAUGGUGCUUGCACCUGAUUGACGUUGGAUCACCAGUGAGUGGCGGACGGGUGAGUAACACGUAGGUAACCUGCCCCGGAGCGGGGGAUAACAUUUGGAAACAGAUGCUAAUACCGCAUAACAACAAAAGCCACAUGGCUUUUGUUUGAAAGAUGGCUUUGGCUAUCACUCUGGGAUGGACCUGCGGUGCAUUAGCUAGUUGGUAAGGUAACGGCUUACCAAGGCGAUGAUGCAUAGCCGAGUUGAGAGACUGAUCGGCCACAAUGGAACUGAGACACGGUCCAUACUCCUACGGGAGGCAGCAGUAGGGAAUCUUCCACAAUGGGCGCAAGCCUGAUGGAGCAACACCGCGUGAGUGAAGAAGGGUUUCGGCUCGUAAAGCUCUGUUGUUGGAGAAGAACGUGCGUGAGUGUAACUGUUCACGCAGUGACGGUAUCCAACCAGAAAGUCACGGCUAACUACGUGCCAGCAGCCGCGGUAAUACGUAGGUGGCAAGCGUUAUCCGGAUUUAUUGGGCGUAAAGCGAGCGCAGGCGGUUGCUUAGGUCUGAUGUGAAAGCCUUCGGCUUAACCGAAGAAGUGCAUCGGAAACCGGGCGACUUGAGUACAGAAGAGGACAGUGGAACUCCAUGUGUAGCGGUGGAAUGCGUAGAUAUAUGGAAGAACACCAGUGGCGAAGGCGGCUGUCUGGUCUGCAACUGACGCUGAGGCUCGAAAGCAUGGGUAGCGAACAGGAUUAGAUACCCUGGUAGUCCAUGCCGUAAACGAUGAGUGCUAGGUGUUGGAGGGUUUCCGCCCUUCAGUGCCGGAGCUAACGCAUUAAGCACUCCGCCUGGGGAGUACGACCGCAAGGUUGAAACUCAAAGGAAUUGACGGGGGCCCGCACAAGCGGUGGAGCAUGUGGUUUAAUUCGAAGCUACGCGAAGAACCUUACCAGGUCUUGACAUCUUGCGCUAACCUUAGAGAUAAGGCGUUCCCUUCGGGGACGCAAUGACAGGUGGUGCAUGGUCGUCGUCAGCUCGUGUCGUGAGAUGUUGGGUUAAGUCCCGCAACGAGCGCAACCCUUGUUACUAGUUGCCAGCAUUAAGUUGGGCACUCUAGUGAGACUGCCGGUGACAAACCGGAGGAAGGUGGGGACGACGUCAGAUCAUCAUGCCCCUUAUGACCUGGGCUACACACGUGCUACAAUGGACGGUACAACGAGUCGCAAGCUCGCGAGAGUAAGCUAAUCUCUUAAAGCCGUUCUCAGUUCGGACUGUAGGCUGCAACUCGCCUACACGAAGUCGGAAUCGCUAGUAAUCGCGGAUCAGCAUGCCGCGGUGAAUACGUUCCCGGGCCUUGCACUCACCGCCCGUCA